AGCUUUGUGCAGUGGCAGUAUCAUAGCCAGUGAGAUUUAUCUGAGGUGCAAUUAUUGCUAAUUGAAAACUUUUCCCAAUACCCCACCAUGACAACUUGACAUAUAGUCGGCUUUGGCAAUACAUAAAUACAUAUAUA
rnacentral:snRNA from 1 species